GAAGGAGGAAUCCAAUGUAUCAAGAGGAGCAUCCCCAGGAUAGCCACUUCUGUACAUAGGGGGGCAAGAUGUGGGACACAACACCCACUUUUUAUAGGGAAGGGGGUCGCUGCCAUCCUGGCUACCCACCAUGAAGGGUUUCCUUCCACCGAUCUCAUCCCGGUGUUGGGGAGAAGAAACAUUGGAGCUCGCUGAGCCGGACACGGCUCCCUCCCUGCCUCGGCGGAGGCGCGGGGUCACUCCGUGGUGCUCCCAUCAGGGAGGAAGCCUUCCCGCGCCCCGGCAAACCCCUAGUGAAAGACAAUCAGGCUCGCUGUCACCGAGCUAAUUCCGAUGGCAUAAAAGCAGUAAUGAAAUUCACGGCAGGAUUAGCCUCUCCAUCCAAUGGGCCGGCGCCACGGUGACAUAUCGUGCUUCUUGCCCGAAUGUAACACACCAUCUAAUUUACGUCGUGUAGCGAGCGGGAAUGAAAUGUUCAUAAAGAAUUGCUGAAUCUUGUCACCUUAACUGCGGCCCCGGGCUCUGAGGCAUCUGUCAGGGAGAGGAGAGCGGAGAAGGAGGCUCCUGCCUCGCCAAGCUGCGGCCGGGGCUUUGGGGAAGGGGCGAUGGCUGCAUCAAUCUUCUGGGGAAUGGGAAGCAAAUCCACUUCUGGAUGCCAAUCCCCACAUUGUCCUUCAGGUCACAGAGAGGUCUCCAAGGCAGAUUCCCAUGGAUGAAGCCAUUCCUCCAACACGGGCUGGGCCGGAGCUGUUCUGCAGGUUCUCACUGCUACGAUGGACACAGAGGUCAGUGGGACCUGCCUUGGGCAGGUGGGAGUUCAUGCAGACAGGCCGAUGGGUUUGCUAGUUUUCUG